UACGUAGGGUGCGAGCGUUAAUCGGAAUUACUGGGCGUAAAGCGUGCGCAGGCGGUUAUGUAAGACAGAUGUGAAAUCCCCGGGCUCAACCUGGGAACUGCAUUUGUGACUGCAUGGCUAGAGUACGGUAGAGGGGGAUGGAAUUCCGCGUGUAGCAGUGAAAUGCGUAGAUAUGCGGAGGAACACCGAUGGCGAAGGCAAUCCCCUGGACCUGUACUGACGCUCAUGCACGAAAGCGUGGGGAGCAAACAGGAUUAGAUACCCCGGUAGUCC
rnacentral:rRNA from 1 species